AAAGCGUGCGCAGGCGGUUUUGUAAGUCUGUUGUGAAAUCCCCGGGCUCAACCUGGGAAUGGCAAUGGAGACUGCAAGGCUAGAGUUUGGCAGAGGGGGGUAGAAUUCCACGUGUAGCAGUGAAAUGCGUAGAUAUGUGGAGGAACACCGAUGGCGAAGGCAGCCCCCUGGGUCAAAACUGACGCUCAUGCACGAAAGCGUGGGGAGCAAACAGGAUUAGAUACCCUUGU
rnacentral:rRNA from 1 species